rnacentral:rRNA from 1 species
UACGAAGGGUGCAAGCGUUAAUCGGAAUUACUGGGCGUAAAGGGUGCGUAGGCGGUUGUUUAAGGCUGUCGUGAAAUCCCCGGGCUCAACCUGGGAAUGGCGAUGGAUACUGGGCAGCUAGAGUGUGUCAGAGGAUGGUGGAAUUCCCGGUGUAGCGGUGAAAUGCGUAGAGAUCGGGAGGAACAUCAGUGGCGAAGGCGGCCAUCUGGGACAACACUGACGCUGAAGCCCGAAAGCGUGGGGAGCAAACAGG